CCAACCCCCGCGAGUGGUCGGGACGUUUAUUGGGCCUAAAGCGUCCGUAGCCGGCCCGGUAAGUCCCAUCGUUAAAGCCCACGGCUCAACCGAUGGGAGCGGAGGGAUACUGCCGGGCUAGGGGGCGGGAGAGGCCGGGGGUACUCCUGGGGCAGGGGCGAAAUCCUAUAAUCCCAGGAGGACCACCAGUGGCGAAGGCGCCCGGCUAGCACGCGCCCGACGGUGAGGGACGAAAGCUGGGGGAGCAAAGGGGAUUAGAUACCCCCGUAGUCCCAGCUGUAAACGAUGCAGGCUAGGUGUUAGGCGGGCUUCGUGCCCGCCUAGUGCCGUAGGGAAGCCGUUAAGCCUGCCGCCUGGGGAGUACGGCCGCAAGGCUGAAACUUAAAGGAAUUGGCGGGGGAGCACCACAAGGGGUGAAGCUUGCGGUUUAAUUGGAGUCAACGCCGGAAACCUUACCGGGGGCGACAGCAGGAUGAAGGCCAGGCUAACGACCUUGCCAGACGAGCUGAGAGGAGGUGCAUGGCCGUCGCCGGCUCGUGCCGUGAGGUGUCCUGUUAAGUCAGGGAACGAGCGAGACCCCCGCCCCUAGUUGCUACCCGGUUCUUCGGGACCGGGGCACUCUAGGGGGACUGCCGGCGAUAAGCCGGAGGAAGGUGGGGGCUACGGCAGGUCAGUAUGCCCCGAAACCCCCGGGCUACACGCGAGCUGCAAUGGCGGGGACAACGGGUUCCGACCCCGAAAGGGGGAGGCAAUCCCUUAAACCCCGCCUCAGUAGGAAUCGAGGGCUGCAACUCGCCCUCGUGAACCUGGAAUCCCUAGUAACCGCGUGUCAUCAACGCGCGGUGAAUACGUUCCUGCUCCUUGUACACAC
rnacentral:rRNA from 1 species